UAGUUUUCUUCUUCUUCUUCUCUUUCUUCUGUUCUUCGUGUCUUUCUCCCUGCCGAAUUCAAUUCCAAUGAAUAGCUUUUUUUGUGAGUGAUUCAUGAAAAUCUUCAGACCCAGAUAAAUCGAAGAAGAGGGUGAUGAAUCUGGAAGCUAAUUGAGCUCUGAAAGAAGAAGAAAUCAGAAGAAAUAAAAAUUAGGGUUUCUGCUAGAAUUGAAUAAGUUGUAUAUUUGGAAGAGGAGUUCGAUUUAGAGAUGGGUAUUGUAUGUUGAGAGUAAGGGAGGAGAUUUAGCUACUGAUUCUCAACUCACAUGGAAGAAUUAGUGAAUUAGGGUUUUCACAGGAGAAGGAAGUGAUGUUGUUAGUGCAAGUUAGGGUUUCGGAUGAUUAUUAAUUUGAAGUGGUUUUGCUGUUGAAGAUUGUGUUCAGUCGAUUAGGGUUUGGUGGUGCUGUAAAUUCGAUCAUUGAGGUGAUGGUGAUGGAUGGUGGUAAUUUUGGUUGUUUUCGAUAAUCGGUGCAGGCAAUUGGAGAUUGAGAUGAAGGUGAUGCUGCUGUGAAGAGAUUGAUGUGAUUUAGCGGUGAGAAAACUCAGAUGGAUAUAAUGAAUGGUGCAUUACAAAACUACAUCGGAUCAAGUUUUACCAAGCUUGAAAAGGUCAGCUAUUUCUGGAUAAGAUGUACUAACUUCUAUCCACAAGUACAUAUAUAUACUUUGUGUUGAAGAGCAAGUAAUCGGUCAUGCUGAAAUUUUCAGAAAUGAAUAGCAGUAGUGCAGUCCCAACUAAUUUUUUUACUGAAGCAUGUCCUCUACUACUUGCAAAAUGAUUUUAUGGCAUAAAGAUGGAGACUGUUGUUGUCCAAGACGACAUCAAUCUUGGUGAAGCUAGAGUGUCAUACCAAGUCUCUUUAUGUAAACAUCAAGUUCAUGGUUCUAAUGCAAUACAAGUUUACAAUGGAACAAUUUCAGAAUAAUCAGAUACCAUGCUUAAGUAAACAAAUAACUAGGUUUGCUAGGUAAAUUUGGCUCUCCCUUUUGCUCCAGAAGCCAUUCUAUGUGCAGUUAAGAUCUAUGUACAAAUUAGAAUUGACUAAAGAAGAACAUCUGUUGUCGAUGGACAUAUUGAAAAAGAAUCAAUACUGGUGACCAGGAAAUAUUAACGGAUAUUGUUAUCAUGUGGCUCAGAGUUUCGUGUUAACUGCUGGUGCAACCCCUGCAGUUGAGAUUUUUAGUAUCUUCCUCAUUGAUAUUGGAAAUGCAUUCCUCCUUAAUCAUGAAGAAUAUGGAACUGGAGUGAAGCUAGCACCUAUUUUAUAUCAUAGAACCAGCAACUUCAGUGUAAGUAUUAGUGCUAUCGAGCAUACAAACCAGGCAAAAAAGCAAAGACUAAAGGAAUCACCCAGCAGUUUACUGGAACCAAUAAAAAAAGAUGUAGGCGAAUGUAUUCAAAGUUUGUCUUUGGACAUCACCGGAGUAGGAGACGGGGUACAGGGGCGAAGCCGAUCCACACCAAAACAGAAAUUCUUAAGGGUCGGGGCGAGGCAGAGCCGAGCCGAGCCAUACCAAAUCAAAAAAAAAAAUUCUAAGCAUGCAAAAUUAAAUUCUCAUUCAACCCUCUGCAUUACAUGGGAUACAUAUUAGUUUGUUAAAAGAAAAAGAAU